AGCGAACGCUGGCGGCAGGCCUAACACAUGCAAGUCGAACGAACUCUUCGGAGUUAGUGGCGGACGGGUGAGUAACACGUGGGAACGUGCCUUUAGGUUCGGAAUAACUCAGGGAAACUUGUGCUAAUACCGAAUGUGCCCUUCGGGGGAAAGAUUUAUCGCCUUUAGAGCGGCCCGCGUCUGAUUAGCUAGUUGGUGAGGUAAAGGCUCACCAAGGCGACGAUCAGUAGCUGGUCUGAGAGGAUGAUCAGCCACAUUGGGACUGAGACACGGCCCAAACUCCUACGGGAGGCAGCAGUGGGGAAUCUUGCGCAAUGGGCGAAAGCCUGACGCAGCCAUGCCGCGUGAAUGAUGAAGGUCUUAGGAUUGUAAAAUUCUUCACCGGGGA
rnacentral:rRNA from 1 species